rnacentral:tRNA from 1 species
GGCCUUAUCGUCUAGUGGUUAGGACGACAGGUUCUCAUCCUGUAAACCGGGGUUCGAUUCCCCGUGGGGCUA